rnacentral:rRNA from 2 species
CAGAAGAAGCACCGGCUAACUCCGUGCCAGCAGCCGCGGUAAUACGGAGGGUGCGAGCGUUAAUCGGAAUUACUGGGCGUAAAGCGCAUGCAGGUGGUUUGUUAAGUCAGAUGUGAAAGCCCGGGGCUCAACCUCGGAAUUGCAUUUGAAACUGGCAGACUAGAGUACUGUAGAGGGGGGUAGAAUUUCAGGUGUAGCGGUGAAAUGCGUAGAGAUCUGAAGGAAUACCGGUGGCGAAGGCGGCCCCCUGGACAGAUACUGACACUCAGAUGCGAAAGCGUGGGGAGCAAACAGGAUUAGAUACCCUGGUAGUCCACGCCGUAAACGAUGUCUACUUGGAGGUUGUGGCCUUGAGCCGUGGCUUUCGGAGCUAACGCGUUAAGUAGACCGCCUGGGGAGUACGGUCGCAAGAUUAAAACUCAAAUGAAUUGACGGGGGCCCGCACAAGCGGUGGAGCAUGUGGUUUAAUUCGAUGCAACGCGAAGAACCUUACCUACUCUUGACAUCCAGAGAACUUUCCAGAGAUGGAUUGGUGCCUUCGGGAACUCUGAGACAGGUGCUGCAUGGCUGUCGUCAGCUCGUGUUGUGAAAUGUUGGGUUAAGUCCCGCAACGAGCGCAACCCUUAUCCUUGUUUGCCAGCGAGUAAUGUCGGGAACUCCAGGGAGACUGCCGGUGAUAAACCGGAGGAAGGUGGGGACGACGUCAAGUCAUCAUGGCCCUUACGAGUAGGGCUACACACGUGCUACAAUGGCGCAUACAGAGGGCGGCCAACUUGCGAAAGUGAGCGAAUCCCAAAAAGUGCGUCGUAGUCCGGAUUGGAGUCUGCAACUCGACUCCAUGAAGUCGGAAUCGCUAGUAAUCGUGGAUCAGAAUGCCACGGUGAAUACGUUCCCGGGCCUUGUACACACCGCCCGUCACACCAUGGGAGUGGGCUGCAAAAGAAGUAGGUAGUUUAACCUUCGGGGGGACGCUUACCACUUUGUGGUUCAUGACUGGGGUGAAGUCGUAACAAGGUAGCGCUAGGGGAACCUGGCGCUGGAUCACCUCCUUA